rnacentral:pre_miRNA from 1 species
AAAAAAGCAAACCCUAGGUUUCCGUGUCCAACUUUGACUGUCCGUCUUAUAUGAAAUUUUUUUAUAAUUCGUAUUUUUAUUGUUGUUAGAUGAUAAAACAUGAUUAAUAUUUUAUGCGUGACUUGUCUUUUUAAUUUCUUUUAUAAUUUUUUCAAAUAAGACGGACGGUCAAACGUUGGGCACGGAAACCAGGGUUUGUCUUUUU